rnacentral:rRNA from 1 species
CAGCCGCCGCGGGAAUACAGAGGGUGCAAGCGUUAAUCGGAAUUACUGGGCGUAAAGUGCGCGUAGGUGGUUUGUUAAGUUGGAUGUGAAAUCCCCGGGCUCAACCUGGGAACUGCAUCCAAAACUGGCAAGCUAGAGUAUGGUAGAGGGUGGUGGAAUUUCCUGUGUAGCGGUGAAAUGCGUAGAUAUAGGAAGGAACACCAGUGGCGAAGGCGACCACCUGGACUGAUACUGACACUGAGGUGCGAAAGCGUGGGGAGCAAACAGGAUUAGAUACCCCCGUAGUCCCUGUCUCUUAUAA